UACGUAGGGUCCGAGCGUUGUCCGGAAUUACUGGGCGUAAAGAGCUCGUAGGUGGUUUGUCGCGUUGUUCGUGAAAACUCACAGCUUAACUGUGGGCGUGCGGGCGAUACGGGCAGACUUGAGUACUGCAGGGGAGACUGGAAUUCCUGGUGUAGCGGUGGAAUGCGCAGAUAUCAGGAGGAACACCGGUGGCGAAGGCGGGUCUCUGGGCAGUAACUGACGCUGAGGAGUGAAAGCGUGGGGAGCGAACAGG
rnacentral:rRNA from 1 species